rnacentral:rRNA from 1 species
UGGGGAAUAUUGGACAAUGGGCGAAAGCCUGAUCCAGCCAUGCCGCGUGUGUGAAGAAGGUCUUCGGAUUGUAAAGCACUUUAAGUUGGGAGGAAGGGCAUUAACCUAAUACGUUAGUGUUUUGACGUUACCGACAGAAUAAGCACCGGCUAACUCUGUGCCAGCAGCCGCGGUAAUACAGAGGGUGCAAGCGUUAAUCGGAAUUACUGGGCGUAAAGCGCGCGUAGGUGGUUUGUUAAGUUGGAUGUGAAAUCCCCGGGCUCAACCUGGGAACUGCAUUCAAAACUGACUGACUAGAGUAUGGUAGAGGGUGGUGGAAUUUCCUGUGUAGCGGUGAAAUGCGUAGAUAUAGGAAGGAACACC